ACUGAAUAUUAAGACUAUGACAUUUUAUAUGUUUUGUAACCUAUAUAAUCAUAGCUCAAACUAUAAGAAUAUUUUCAUUUUAAAGUUUAGAUAUGAAACAGAUAGUUUGAAAAGAUGAAUACUGAAUUUUAUGUGGACACCGGGUCACCAUUAAUUACUGGGUCACCAUUAAUUACUAUGUGUUGUAAUUUAUAUUUACUUUAAUGGCCGCUUUCGUGAAAAAAGAAAAAAAAUAUACCAAAAUAAAUGAAUGCCCCAAAAAAGAAAAACAGCAACCGUGUGAAUAGCAAAUAAAUUGGAUCUAAUAGAAAGGUCCAAAUAAACUUGUCAAAUGUUGUGUAUUAAUUAAUGAAUAUUAUUUCAUGCGGUCAUUAAUUAAUAAACAAAUUGUUAGGAAGGACUGAAAGGUUCAUAUGUAAUUAAAAUGUACAUUUUUAAUGUUGUCACGUUUUUGAUGUCAUCGCCUAAGUUAAGACAUAGCGUUUUAUUUCAAUUUCUUGUGGAUUUUAGCAUCUUUUGACCAAAUAGUUUGAACGGGUGAGUUUAUGUUUUUGAUAUUUAGUUCUAUCAAUUAAUAUUUUUACAUUUCAGUUAAAAAAUAAAUGGGUAUUAACAAAUCAUAUUCCAAACAACACUCAGUGACAUCCACACAUAAAU
rnacentral:lncRNA from 1 species